GUUGCAAAGAAAAUUUGAAAGUGAGUAUCCAUGGAACUUCAAUGUGGUUACAAAACUCCAAACCAGGGGAAAAAAAAAACUAAAAACCAAAACCAGUCACAUUCAUCUAAUGUGUUGUUUUGUUCCUAGAAAAUUACCUAGGAAAUUACAAAAUAAUUCCUGCAUACAAUAAAAACUAAAGUAAACAGCAUUUAACUCAUAUCUCUAUAAAGUAAAAUAAACUAAAACUGCAUUUAACUAAAAUAAACUAAAAUAGUCAUCUCCACACGCAGCUUUGGACUUGAGUAUACUCAUGUCCUUCACAUGCAGCUAUUAGACAUGUCUCAAUAUCAUCAAUCUCGGUAUAGAGUAAUUAGAGUUCAUCAUUUCACAACAAAUAUUUAUAUCCAUUCCAUCCAUUCAUAUUGACUAUAAAUGCAAAAUCAUCCAUUCAAACCAUACAUUUUUAAGGAUAGAUCUCUUUGUAACCAUUCGAUUAUUCUAAUGUAUCGUAUGAUCAUAACAUCACAAAAAUACAAGUACAAGGAUAGCUCCCCUACCUUUCAACAUACUCGACAUGUAAUCAGAAUAACCUAUCCAGUCAUACAAAUUCUGCACAAAAUAAAGAGAUAAAUUAGUUCCCCUUUGUUUUUCGUUAUACCAUUACAGUAAAUAUACACACAAUUCCUUUACUCUCUCUUGUUUGAUUGCCUUCGUGUGAGUGUGCAUUGUGAGAAAGUUAACAUGAUGCACCUUAUCUUCUUUAUACCCAAAGACUAAAAAAUCACAUCAAUGAAACUGGUUAAUAAUUUAAAGUUGUAAAUAGAACAUUAUUAGAAACAAAAUACUUUAAUAUCUUUAUAAUAAUUAUGUGUGUAUUCCAUCCACUGAGGCACGAAUGACUUUAAGAAAAUAAAAUUCUUCACUCUAAUCACAAGACUCGCAUGCUUUCUAGACAUUAAACAAACCCCAGUAGGAAGUCGAAAAACAAACCAGACAAUUUCAAAUGAACCCAUGUUGUUAAAAGAGUUCAAAACAUCAUAAGUAAAUCAUCGUAGGCACAAUGGCAUGAAUUUAAAUAUACCUGGAGAGGAGUUCCAAUCAAAAGCACACGGUGUUUGUUGGAAAAUUGCAUCAAUGAAGAAAAACUCAGUCACUAAGGUGGCAUUGCUGUUUCAAACUCUCCAUGUUAAUAAUAAAGUGAUGGAAGACAAAUAUAACAGAAGGGAAUAAACAAAAAUUAAGUAUCAAGUCCCAUUAUAAGAGCAGUUAUAUCACUUCUAUCUACAAAUGGGGCAGCACCUAC
rnacentral:lncRNA from 1 species